rnacentral:lncRNA from 1 species
UUUUUGGCAUUUAUGCCACAAUAUUUUUACACCAUAAAAGAACUUUGCAAUCAUACUUAAUAUACUGCACUUAUACUCUGAAAAUUAAUUAAAUUGCUCUCAUGUUGAUAAAAUACUUAAUAUAUUGGGCAAAAGAUCUUAAAUGAACAAGCUUUCAUACUUAUUAUUGAAGAGAGGUUAGAUUUUCAUUCGUGCUUUCUUUGAAU